UUGAUGUUUGUGUGGGUUGUUCCUUCUAGUUCUUGGGUGUGGUGGUGGUGGUGGUUGUGACUGAACGGUGUGUGUGGGUUUGCUACAUCAAGAUUAGCACAUGAGAAAGUUAAAGCGUUUUUAUUGUGUGUGUGUGUUCUCACGCCAGUGUUGGAGCAUGAAGGGGAGUUAAAAGUUGGCUGUGUACUGAGGGGCUGAGUUUCUUGGAGGAGAGGAACCAAGAGAGAUACGUGAGAUGUGUGAAUAAUCUCAAGCUGAAUAUUUUGUCACAAGAUUUACUGUGUUUCCAAGAGUUUCCCUUUGUCUUCUGGGUUGUGGUGGUGGUGGUCGUGGUCGUGCGGGACUGUCCAGGAGCGGAUGAGACGUCCAGAAUGGUUCCUACAGGACGGAAGAGAAUACCCGAGUCUUGGAGCAGAGCCAAGCAAGAGAUGGAGACACACAGAAGAGAUGAGGUGGAGAGCCACGUGAAGGUGAUAAAAAUUAUGAUGUCGAACAGAUAAGAGCUGGUGAGAACCGUGCAGAAAAGAUGAGCAGCAGAAGAGGUGAAGAGAGAUGAGAAAACUAGGAAGAGGUGAAGAGCCACGCAGAGCAGAAGAGAUACCUGUCGCAGUAAAAUCUGACGCCCUGACGAGGCUACUUUGAAGGAUUGAAUCGGAAUAUUACAAGUGAAUUCUACUGUCGCUGCAUUCCUCCCCCUCUGAAUCAGACAAGAGAAAAGAGGAGCAACGGCAAGAGGAAAAGACGCACCUGGAGAAGAGAACAGCAAAAAGACGUGCCGAGGAGCAAGACACAACAACAGGGGACAGACUGGAGGCGACAGGCGGCAGUUCCACGGGGAUCAGGUCACACACUACGGCUGGCUGCCUCCACACGGCACACCUGCUUUGCCUCAGCCAGUCGCCCUCCUCCUCAGCACGCCAAUCCAUCUUUAUCAUCUUCAGGAGCUCCUUGCAGAUCCUCCGGUUUCUGACCCUCGCUGCUCCUUCUCGUGGGCGUUGCAGGAUCCCCACACUCAUAUAGUCUUGCCUUCAGCUAUCUUGGCUGUUUCUAUCACUUCCUUUAUUACUGUUAAAGAAUUCUUUGUGUCGUUUCCCUCCAGGUUGUUACUUCCUCCAUGAAUAGCCAGAAAGCUUCUUUCUUCAAUUUUUCACCUCUUCCAGAACCUUCUUAACGUCUUGAAUCUUGUCAGUAGUGCACCCCUAUUUCCCUCCUCAAAGUCUGUGGGACUCGCGGUUGCAUGUGUCUCUAUCCUAUUAUAAAUUGGCCUCUGGGUCCGAGGAAACGAACAAUUACUACUAUUUAUUAUUACUAUUGAAAAGGACUAUGUAGUGGCUCAGAUUCAACAGCUUCUUCAAUGGACCAGCGCAUCCUGCCUGCCUAGGGAUGCCCCUCCCUAGCUCACUCACUAUUGAAGAUGAAGAAAACAGUACAGUUUAUUUCAGUACUAAAUGAAACACACUCCUAGGACUCUCCGGAAAUUUUGUAGUAGUGUGGCAAUCUAAUCAUUAAAUAAAUAAAGAGCUACAUUCCCCUAAAUCUUAUUUUUUAUUACACUCCGUUACAAAACCUCCGGAAACUUCAAGUAAAUAUUUUUGACUUAGUACUGUAGGCCCCCGUGGUACAGUGGAACCAUGCGCGCUUUGGGGUCCGAA